CCCGCACAAGCAGCGGAGCAUGCGGCUUAAUUCGACGCAACGCGAAGAACCUUACCAAGGCUUGACAUAUACAGGAAUAUGGCAGAGAUGUCAUAGCCGCAAGGUCUGUAUACAGGUGGUGCAUGGUUGUCGUCAGCUCGUGUCGUGAGAUGUUGGGUUAAGUCCCGCAACGAGCGCAACCCUCGUUCUGUGUUGCCAGCAUUUAGUUGGGGACUCACAGGAGACUGCCGGGUUAACUCGGAGGAAGGUGGGGAUGACGUCAAAUCAUCAUGCCCCUUAUGUCUUGGGCUGCACGCAUGCUACAAUGGCUGGUACAAACGGCUGCGAUACCGCAAGGUGGAGCGAAUCCGAUAAAGCCAGUCUCAGUUCGGAUUGGGGUCUGCAACUCGACCCCAUGAAGUCGGAGUUGCUAGUAAUCGUAGAUCAGCAACGCUACGGUGAAUACGUUCCCGGGGCUUGUACACACCGCCCGUCACGUCACGAAAGUCGGUAACAC
rnacentral:rRNA from 1 species